rnacentral:rRNA from 1 species
CAGCGGCAGACGGGUGAGUAACACGUAGGUGAUCUACCCCAGAGACGGGGAUAACGGGUGGAAACAUCCGCUAAUACCGGAUAGGCUUGUUCGGUCAAAGGGACAAGGAAAGGCUCCGGCGCUCUGGGAGGAGCCUGCGGCCCAUCAGCUAGUUGGCGGGGUAACGGCCCACCAAGGCAAAGACGGGUAGGGGGUGUGAGAGCAUGGUCCCCCACAAUGGGACUGGAACACGACCCAUACUCCUACGGGAGGCAGCAGCAGGGAAUAUUGCACAAUGGACGGAAGUCUGAUGCAGCGACGCCGCGUGGAUGAAGAAGGCCCUCGGGUUGUAAAAUCCUUUACAGGGGGAAGAGGAAGGACGGUACCCCUGGAACAAGUGUCGGCUAACUACGUGCCAGCAGCCGCGGUAAGACGUAGGACACAAGCGUUAUCCGGAUUUACUGGGCGUAAAGCGUCUGCAGGCGGACAGGUAAGUUGGGCGUGAAAGCUCCGGGCCCAACCCGGAGAGGUCGUUCAAUACUGCGUGUCUAGAGGGUGUCAGAGGGGAGUGGAAUUUCCGGAGUAGCGGUAAAAUGCGCAGAGAUCGGAAAGAACAGCAAUGGCGAAGGCAGCUCCCUGGGGCAACCCUGACGCUGAGAGACGAAAGCUAGGGGAGCGAACAGGAUUAGAGACCCUGGUAGUCCUAGCCCUAAACGAUGGAUGCUGGAUGUGGGGCCAUAGCGCUCCGUGUCGAAGCGAAC